rnacentral:rRNA from 1 species
AACGAACGCUGGCGGCAGGCUUAACACAUGCAAGUCGAACGCCCCGCAAGGGGAGUGGCAGACGGGUGAGUAACGCGUGGGAACGUGCCCUUCGCUUCGGAAUAGCCCCGGGAAACUGGGAGUAAUACCGGAUACGCCGUAUUGGGAAAGAUUUAUCGGCGAAGGAUCGGCCCGCGUUAGAUUAGCUAGUUGGCGGUGUAAUGGACCACCAAGGCUACGAUCUAUAGCUGGUCUGAGAGGAUGAUCAGCCACACUGGGACUGAGACCCGGCCCAGACUCCUACGGGAGGCAGCAGUGGGGAAUCUCGGACAAUGGGCGCAGGCCUGAUCCAGCCAUGCCGCGUGAGUGAAGAAGGCCUUAGGGUUGUAAAACUCUUUCGCCGGAGAAGAUAAUGACGGUAUCCGGAGAAGAAGCCCCGGCUAACUUCGUGCCAGCCGCCGCAGUAACAC